CAGCUCCCCGCAUCGCUGCCUUGCAGAAAGACAUGAGAGCUGAAUGCCCAGGAAAAAGCGAAAGCAGAUGGAAGAGGAGAGGGAAUCCAGACUGCUGAAAGCAAAAUGACCACCAACUUACAGGAAAGAAGACCGAGAGAUCCUUAAUGGUCAGAAGUAAACUUUCAUUUGGAACUGUAAAGGAAUGGAGAGCCUGGGGGAUGACUUGGAAAUCAACAAAUCAAUAAAUGAUUAUGAAUGGCUGCUGGAGAUAUUUGAUUUCCAAUUUUGAAGGAGCACACAAGUCAAUUAAACAGUUGGCUGUUAAUCUGUAUGUCUGAGAUGUCAAAACUAUAUUAACAAGAACUAGAUCUCAGUGAAAAUACAGGCACGGAUGGCUAUAAAAAACAUCUAUGAAGGUUCUGAAUUCCCUCACUUUUAUGAGAAAUGUCUGAGUCUCUCUCUGGAAAAACAAGAUGUGUAGUGAAUAAUAGAUUAAGAGCAAAAUCAAUAUUAUUUCUAGUCACGGCACCCUCAAAAAAGAUGAUUCAUUUGCAAUUGUUUGAUUUUAUGAGGAUAAGAGACUUAAGUCACAACAAAUGUAGAAAAAUUACACUAUCUCUGUGACAAAGAAAUACUGCUUUGGCCACUGCUUCAAAAAAAGACUGAGGCAAUAAUCUAAAUGCUGCUUUUCCUGAGCCACUUCAUUCAGACUCUCCUCACGUGGUAAAUGGUCAGUCGAUCUGUUUGGACUACAACAUAAAAUGGCACAUCAGAGCUGCACUGAAGAUCUCCUACUGAUGCCACAAAUUUGCUAGCUUUUAGUGACACCGCAUGUCAAGUGAUUGUAUUGUCAAACCUUCCAGUCUCUUGGCACAGCCUUUCCCACAAAGGAGAAGAUGAGCGAAGAGGGGAAGAUUAACAGAACAAAGUAAAGUCAAGGUUCAUCUAUGUUGCAGAAAAGAACAAGCCUGAGAAACAGCAUGACCUAGUUGAUAGAGCAUGGGCUUAGGAGUCAGAAGGA